rnacentral:lncRNA from 1 species
UGAUUAUAAUUAUUUUUAAGAUUGAAAUCUAUCCAAAUCUUUUAAAAUCUUUCUAUUAAUGAAAUCUUGAUAAAUCCACUAAUUAUUUAUAAUACUUAAAUUUUAAAAGAUUUCAUUAAAUUUCAUUAAAAUCUUAAUUGGGGAUACUUAUAAUUUAAUGGAUUUUAUUAAGCUUCUAUUUGGUUCCCAUUAUUUCCUCAUUAAAAUAAAAAUAUGACCGUUAUAAAUCAUAUGAAGUUACCAAAUUUGAAUUUCUAUUUCUGGUGUAGGGCUCGUAGCGGUUAUAUUUUUCAUUCUUAUUCUUCCAAAAAUGAUAAACAAACGGGGGUUAAAAUUCAUUGAAAUCUCAAUUGAGAACAUCUAAAUUAAAACGAUUUUAAAAUUUAUCACAAUCUCAGUUGAUGACACCCAUCUUAUUAAUUGAGAUGGAGGUAGUUGUGAACUUGAUGUUUCUGUUAUUCGCGAUGAUUUGAGCAAGUUUGGUGCCCAAGGUAAUUCUGCAGGUAAGCAGCGCUUGGAUUCAGUUCACGGUUUCUGAGUAUUUCUGAAGGGGUAUGGUGGAAAAGGUGGAGUAAUUUGGUGAAGUGUUUUGUUUAGAGAUUUUGUUGAAAUUGAAGAGUUAAGUUUUAUUCUCUGCAAUGGAAUUCGUGUUAAUGUGAAGUUUGUUAUAAUUGAGUUGUGACUUGAAUUUUUGAUGAUUAUUUGAUUAGAAAUAUUGUUAGAGGAGUAUUGUGAGUUGGUAGUAAACUUGAAGAUGUUUUGCAGGAGUCUAAUGUGAAUUUGACUCAUAUUUCAUCUUAAAUUCUUCAUUGUUGAUUUUACCCAUUAUAUUGAGAUUUCACCUUAUAUUAAACUUCUCAU